rnacentral:lncRNA from 1 species
AUCCAAAGGUUUUAAGAAGGGGAAUUUCCCUGCAUAAGCUCUCUUUUCUUAUCUGCCACCAUUUGAGAUGUGCCUUUUACCUUCUGCCAUGAUUGUGAGGUCUCCCAGCCACGUGGAACUGCCCUGUGCAAGUCUGAAAUCCAGCCCUGCUGACUAGUGUCCUUAUAAGAAGAGAAAACUGAACACACAGACAGCCUGGAGUGCACACACACAGAAGAAAGACCAUAUGAGGACACAGUGAAGAUGGCCAUCUGCCAGCAAAUGAAAGAGGUCUCAGAAGAAACAACACUGCCAACAAUUUGAUCUUGGACUUCCAGCCUCUGAAACUGUGAGAAAAU